AGAGUUUGAUCCUGGCUCAGGAUGAACGCUAGCGGCAGGCCUAAUACAUGCAAGUCGAACGGUUGGUAGCAAUAUCAAUAGUGGCGCACGGGUGCGUAACGCGUAACCAACCUACCCGAAUCUGGGGGAUAGCCCGCCGAAAGGCGGAUUAAUACCGCAUAAAACGGCAGACCGGCAUCGGUUGACCGUUAAAGAUUUAUUGGAUUCGGAUGGGGUUGCGUGCCAUUAGCUAGUUGGUUGGGUAACGGCCGACCAAGGCGACGAUGGCUAGGGGAGCUGAGAGGCUGGUCCCCCACACGGGCACUGAGAUACGGGCCCGACUCCUACGGGAGGCAGCAGUAGGGAAUAUUGGGCAAUGGCCGAGAGGCUGACCCAGCCAUGCCGCGUGCAGGAUGAAGGCUUUCUGAGUCGUAAACUGCUUUUAUCAGGGAAGAAUAAGGCGUGUGCGCACGCUGAUGACGGUACCUGAGGAAUAAGCACCGGCUAACUCCGUGCCAGCAGCCGCGGUAAUACGGAGGGUGCAAGCGUUAUCCGGAUUUACUGGGUUUAAAGGGUGCGUAGGUGGGUAGGUAAGUCAGUGGUGAAAUCUUCAAGCUUAACUUGGAAACUGCCAUUGAUACUAUUUAUCUUGAAUAUUCUGGAGGUAAGCGGAAUAUGUCAUGUAGCGGUGAAAUGCUUAGAUAUGACAUAGAACACCAAUUGCGAAGGCAGCUUACUAUGGAUGUAUUGACACUGAGGCACGAAAGCGUGGGGAUCAAACAGGAUUAGAUACCCUGGUAGUCCACGC
rnacentral:rRNA from 1 species